CUUCAUUAAGCUGAAAUGAGAGCCCAACAAAAAAGGCAUCUCACAUGGAUCAUCAAUUAUCUGCAGAAGAUAAGAUUCCAGAGACUUGGAGGUAGCCUUGAAGGAAAGCCCCCUGGCACAUGUGUUCAUUAUUUGUGUCCAGCCAGAGAGGAUGUCUUUUGGUCAAUUAAGAUUUUCUGGUUUUUGUAGUGCUUCAUGUUGUAUCAUGAACCAAUCAAAACAAGCCCCGGAAGGAUGCCCAGCACUGGUGCAAGAGAGAUAACACACAAUGAAGAAGAAUGUAUCUACUGUCUCCCUUGCUGGGCUGUUGUGGAAGAAAUUGCGUGGUCAUGUGUGUGAAACACGUGAGCAGAAGUAUGCCAGCUAUACCUAAGGUAGGAACCAUGACCACCUUUUUUCACAUGACCGCAAGCACAGAAGAAUUGCAGGUACAUGUAUAGUCUCUCUGUCUGAUCUCCAAGUCCUCGCUUACUGUGACGGCAUUUGCAUGUUUUGCCCUUCGUAAUACUAUUCUCCUGUCUGCAGAGUCCCAUAAAAGUGCUCUUAGAUUCUUCUGAACAGGAGGCAUAUGAAAAUCUCAGCUAUUAGCACUUAACUAUAUUGGAUUUGUGCUCCUAGAAAGCCAGCACUGCUGACUGCAGCUGGACAGCCACUCC